UACGAAGGGGGCUAGCGUUGCUCGGAAUCACUGGGCGUAAAGCGCACGUAGGCGGCUUUCUAAGUCAGGGGUGAAAUCCUGGAGCUCAACUCCAGAACUGCCUUUGAUACUGGAGAGCUUGAGUCCGGGAGAGGUGAGUGGAACUCCGAGUGUAGCGGUGAAAUGCGCAGAUAUCAGGAAGAACACCCGUGGCUAAGGCGGCUCUCUAGUACGGUACUGACGCUGAGACGCGAAAGCGUGGGGAGCGAACAGG
rnacentral:rRNA from 1 species